rnacentral:rRNA from 1 species
AAUGAACGCUGGCGGCAUGCCUAACACAUGCAAGUCGAACGGAAACAGGAAGAAGCUUGCUUCUUUGCUGACGAGUGGCGGACGGGUGAGUAAUGUCUGGGAAACUGCCUGAUGGAGGGGGAUAACUACUGGAAACGGUAGCUAAUACCGCAUAACGUCGCAAGACCAAAGAGGGGGACCUUCGGGCCUCUUGCCAUCGGAUGUGCCCAGAUGGGAUUAGCUAGUAGGUGGGGUAACGGCUCACCUAGGCGACGAUCCCUAACUGGUCUGAGAGGAUGACCAGCCACACUGGAACUGAGACACGGUCCAGACUCCUACGGGAGGCAGCAGUGGGGAAUAUUGCACAAUGGGCGCAAGCCUGAUGCAGCCAUGCCGCGUGUAUGAAGAAGGCCUUCGGGUUGUAAAGUACUUUCAGCGGGGAGGAAGGGAGUAAAGUUAAUACCUUUGCUCAUUGACGUUACCCGCAGAAGAAGCACCGGCUAACUCC